AUUGGCAUUGCAAAACACCUCUGUCCAGCAACCUCAUACAUUCAUGGCAUUGCAUAGCUUUAUGACCACAUUAUUUCAAUGUUGAUCUCACUCUUCCUAUCCCUCUUUCACACUCUCUUUUGGAAAUUCAUAGUUUGUAACUCUUUUCCAUUACAUUACACUAUAGAUUACAUCAACUCACAGAGUCACUGAACUGUGUUGGAAUUUAUUGGAAGUGUCAGAGCAGCGCAUCAAACAGAAA